GCGUGAGCCUGGCGCCUGCGUAGCUGUGGAGAGCAAGAUACAAGCAACUGCUGUCCUGCCCUUACACAGCCAUCUUAUAGCUGUGUGUCUGCUGUGCUGUAUGUCCUUCUCUUCCAGCUGGAUUACAGAAGGAACUGUCAACAUCCAGUAAAUUAAUCUGCUAUUGGCAUGUAACCUUUUGUUUAUAAUUUCUCAGAAGUACUGUGAAAUGGAAUUAUGAGGAUAUUAGUAGCAAUUAAAUUAGGAAAUGUCUACCAUAAAUACUGUCUCUGCAUAUCAUCCUACACUAUUAAAUCAGUGUUCAAUGAAGCACAAUUUAUUUUACUCCCGAUAUAAAAUCAUUACUCUGUAUACUUUAUAUUGAAACUAUUGUAUUUAUAAUUAAAACAUUAGCUGAAUUUGUGUAUU